rnacentral:rRNA from 1 species
CGCGUAGGUGGUUCGUUAAGUUGGAUGUGAAAGCCCCGGGCUCAACCUGGGAACUGCAUCCAAAACUGGCGAGCUAGAGUAUGGUAGAGGGUGGUGGAAUUUCCUGUGUAGCGGUGAAAUGCGUAGAUAUAGGAAGGAACACCAGUGGCGAAGGCGACCACCUGGACUGAUACUGACACUGAGGUGCGAAAGCGUGGGUAGCAAACAGGAUUAGAUACCCCCCGUA